rnacentral:lncRNA from 1 species
CUGGGUGCAGGGGCUGCCUCAGUGGCCUGCGCACAAGCUCUCGCGCUCCCUCUGCGUGGGUCUCUCUCUCUGCCCCACACACGCGCGUUCCUCCCUCCUCCCCAGCCUGGGUUCGCGGCGUGUACAGACUCCAGCAGGCUCGAGCUGCUGGGACUGCUUGUCAGGGGCCCGAAAGCUGCAAUUCACCGCAGAAACAGCAGAUGGGAGCAGUGGAGACGCGACGGAGAGCAGCAUGGAAGGAGGAGCCAGCAGAUGGCAGUGCAGAGGAGCGAACAGACAUCCCUGCAGCGGCAGCUGAUCCCGGGGCUUCCUGGGGAAGUAAAUAGCGGGCUUUGGUGCAGCGAGGUGGGCUUCCCUGGGCUCCUGGCUUGCCCUAGCUGUUGCGUUCUCUGGGUUCCUGUAUUUCCCACCAAGGACGUCGCAGUAGAAGCUGGACUGAUUCUGGAGUCGGAGGAUCUAGGUUCAAAUCCUCCGGGACACUUACAACGUGUGUGACCUUUGGAAAUGUGUGUAACCUCUUUGGGCCUCAGUUUCCUCAUCUAUAAAAUGGAAGGAUUGGACAAGAAGGCCUCCAAGUUCUCUUUUAAUUCUUGGGAAGCCUUCUCAACUCUACUUCCUUGACCGAGCCUGUAUUUCCUCUCCAAUCAAUGGUUUAGCGAGCUGUGGGAGAGUGUACCCCUGUGCAAGUGGGGGGCAAUUCCCUUUAUGGCUAAUUUUGCUGUGCUGUUUAAUAAAGUGUUAUUUGCUUUGAAGUAGCUUGGCCUC